CACAUAAUAAUGUUAUCUUGCCUUGUUAUGAAGUUAAAUAUGUACAUACAUAUUCGAACAUACGUCCAGUUUUUUUAGUAAACGACACUCAAAGUCGGUCGUCCAGACAGUUCAAGUACUUUAUUUACAAGCCACUGCAGUAAGCUCUACGGGCAACGUAAAUACGCCUACGUAGCCUGGUAGCGUGUUUAAAAUCGAAAGACGCAUCGAGUCAGCGAUCUUCAAAGAACAGAGAUGGAGGAGGAUUUUUUUAACAAGGAAGCUUUUAAAAAAAAAAAUUUUUUUCUACUAAGCCUGUUCGAGAUCGUAUUCGUAUUAGUGAUGACAUCAUUCUGUGGACGAGUAGAGGACGAUGAUUAUGUAAAUUUGUAGUAAUGUGAUUGGUCGUCCAUAUUGUUCCCCUUACCCCCCAAUCCUUGAUUCGUGUAACACACCAUUUCAAUCAUGUAGAAAAGUUUUAAUAUUAAACACCUAACAUUAUAACUGUAGAAAAAAUACGCCACAGAAAAAACAGUUUUUUAUUUCUCGAAAACCAAAAUUCACCAAGCCUCUCAACCAACAAAUAAAAUCGCAAGCCGCACCAAAGCCUUUUAAUUUAAUUUUAAG